GCCCGGCCCGUUUUUUAAAAUAAAAGGUGGUACAUAAAAAAUAAAUCAAUUUCAUCUAGGCUUCAAUUAAAUGCAAAUUACAUGCUCUAUAAAAAAUAAAUCAGUUUUAAUCAAAAAACAAAUAUUUCUAUGAUCUUUCAUCUGCUAAGAACAAUUAUUUUCCAAUUCAAACUGCAUAAAUCCAAUCCAAAUUCAUGAAUAGAAGCAUCUCUAUUUCUCAAUCCCAUUAUUUUCCUACUAGUAGAUAAACAAUAUUAGCAUAACAUUACCAUAAUUUAAUCAAAAUUUUUCUUUCCCUCCAAUAUUUUGGUAGUUCACUUCUUUUUCAGAGGAAUCAAUAAUCAUAACAAUCUUUUGAGAUAAGGACACAAAUUAUCAUCUACAAAAUCUGCUAAUCCUGCAUUUAAUUGCAAAAUGUUGUACAAAGUAAAAUAAAAGAAAAUCAAAUUAAAUUCUAAAAGGAAAAUGUAAAUGAAAGCUUACGGGAAAGGAAGCUAUGGUAAGCCAAAUUGAUUUCAAUGUCACUUGUUUCUGCAAUUAAACAAAGCAAAAACAAAAAAAAAGAUGAGAUUAAAUGAAAAAAACUAAGCUUGUGAUCUCAAUAAACAUUAUAAUAAAUUCAUUAAAGUCGAAUCCAUGCAAUUUCAAAAUUCUGAGAUCUUCAUUGUGAUAUGACAAUAUCAACUCCAACCACUAUAUUGGAGCUUGCACAAUUAUACUGUCAUAAUAUGACUCAAGUAUUUUAACACCCUUCAUCAAAUAAGUGUUGCCUAUUUCCUACUCCUCAACUAAACUCUUUUCAAUUAAAAAUAACUAGAAACUGCAAGUAACAUACAUAACAGCUCAUCUAAAACAAUCUAGCUUAAUGUCACUAUUGAAGUCUAUGUUAAAAAAAGAAACAGACAGAAACAUCAAACAAACAUUAAGCAAAAUACAGACAGAAACUUAAAAACAGAAUUCGGCAAAAUAUCCGUAUCUGGUACUCGCACCAAAUUCCAGUAAAAGAGAUCAAUGUAAUUAGUAAACAUUAAGCAAAAUAAAGACAAAAACAAACAGAAAAUGGAAGAAGAAGAAAAUGUAGUUACCCGGAUUAACAAGUUAUACCAAUUGACUCUUAAAUAAAUCUAGUUGUUAAGUGUAUCACUAAAAAAAAUAGUCUGUAUUGUUUGUUUACUUAAAAAAAAUUAAGAACAAUUUUUUGUAUAUAAUUUUUGGCCAACACGUUUUAUAUAUUAAUUAAUGCAAAGUGUGAAAGGAACGACUUUUCAAACAAGUCUCUAACAACUAAAUAGUGCUAUAGUUAACAUAUAAUGCAAAUAGUUAACAUUAUCAUCAAUCGUUCUUGUCUGCUUAUUUUUUAAUAGUAUAAGAAUUAAACUGUUCAAUUUAUUCUGAAAUUAACUAAGUUACUUUUUCAACAAUAUUAGAUAAGAAUUUCCUACAUAUUUCUAUCAAUUAUUUUCUUUACUUAAUGAACGAUUUUAUAUAUAUAGAAAAUGAAAUACCAAUUACCAAAUCAACAUCAUAAGAAAAACACUACCACAUCUUGCCAAAUCCAUUAAUUAUUGAAGUCUAUGUUAAAAAAAGAAACACACAGAAAGUCAGAAACAAACAUUAAGCAGAAAUAUGGUACUCGCAUUAAUACAGACAGAAACAGAAACUUAAAAAAAGAAUUUGGCAAAAUAUCCACAUUUGGUACUCGCACCAAAUUCCAGAAAAAGAGAUCAAUACAAUUACUAAUUAGUAAACAUUAAGCAAAAUACAGCCAAACAGAAAAUGAAGUUACCCAGAUUAACCAGAAACAAACAGACAGAAAAUGGAAGGGAAUCAUCAAGGGAUCCAUUGUUAAUGAUUUCUUAAAAGAUUCAGACUCAAAAAUUAAGCAAAAUACAACGAUUGUGAAUGGUUUAUUUUGACAAAAUUAUUCUCAAAAUAGAGCUCCAUUUACCUUAAAUUGGGCGGAGGAUCGAAGGUGGAUCGGUGGACUGGAGGAGGAUCUGUGGACUGGAGGAGGAUCGGUAUUUUGGAAUUGGGAAAAAAGGGAGGAGGGCACGAUAGGU
rnacentral:lncRNA from 1 species